rnacentral:rRNA from 1 species
GAUUCUUAAAUGAAUUGACGGGGGCCCGCACAAGCGGUGGAUUAUGUGGAUUAAUUCGAUGCAACGCGAAAAACCUUACCUGGCCUUGACAUGUACGGAACUUUCCAGAGAUGGAUUGGUGCCCGAAAGGGAACCGUAACACAGGUGCUGCAUGGCUGUCGUCAGCUCGUGUCGUGAGAUGUUGGGUUAAGUCCCGCAACGAGCGCAACCCUUGCCAUUAAUUGCCAUCAUUUAGUUGGGCACUUUAAUGGGACUGCCGGUGACAAACCGGAGGAAGGUGGGGAUGACGUCAAGUCCUCAUGGCCCUUAUGGCCAGGGCUUCACACGUAAUACAAUGGUCGGUACAGAGGGUUGCCAACCCGCGAGGGGGAGCCAAUCCCAGAAAGCCGAUCGUAGUCCGGAUUGCAGUCUGCAACUCGACUGCAUGAAGUCGGAAUCGCUAGUAAUCGCGGAUCAGCAUGUCGCGGUGAAUACGUUCCCGGGCCUUGUACACACCGCCCGUCACACCAUGGGAGUGGGUUCCACCAGAAGUAGGUAGUCUAACCGCAAGGAGGACGCUUACCACGGUGGGGUUCAUGACUGGGGUGAAGUCGUAACAAGGUAGCCGUAUCGGAAGGUGCGGCUGGAUCACCUCCUUUCUAGAGAAAAAGCCUGGUCUGCAAGCAUUCACACUUAUCGGUUGUUCAAAGAGCGCAUCAAAGAGUGGCCAACCUAAAAUAGCGGAGACGUUAUUAACCUUAUAGGGUCUGUAGCUCAGCUGGUUAGAGCACCGUCUUGAUAA